GAUGAACGCUGGCGGCGUGCCUAAUACAUGCGAGUCGAGUGAACGGACGAGAAGCUUGCUUCUCUGAUGUUAGCGGCGGACGGGUGAGUAACACGUGGAUAACCUACCUAUAAGACUGGGAUAACUUCGGGAAACCGGAGCUAAUACCGGAUAAUAUUUUGAACCGCAUGGUUCAAAAGUGGAAGACGGUCUUGCUGUCACUUAUAGAUGGAUCCGCGCUGCAUUAGCUAGUUGGUAAGGUAACGGCUUACCAAGGCAACGAUGCAUAGCCGACCUGAGAGGGUGAUCGGCCACACUGGAACUGAGACACGGUCCAGACUCCUACGGGAGGCAGCAGUAGGGAAUCUUCCGCAAUGGGCGAAAGCCUGACGGAGCAACGCCGCGUGAGUGAUGAAGGUCUUCGGAUCGUAAAACUCUGUUAUUAGGGAAGAACAUAUGUGUAAGUAACUGUGCACAUCUUGACGGUACCUAAUCAGAAAGCCACGGCUAACUACGUG
rnacentral:rRNA from 1 species